AGAGUUUGAUCAUGGCUCAGAUUGAACGCUGGCGGAAUGCUUUACACAUGCAAGUCGAACGGCAGCACGGACUUCGGUCUGGUGGCGAGUGGCGAACGGGUGAGUAAUAUAUCGGAACGUAUCCAAUAAUGGGGGAUAACUAAUCGAAAGGUUGGCUAAUACCGCAUACGCCCUACGGGGGAAAGCUAGGGAUCUUCGGACCUGGCGUUAAUGGAGCGGCCGAUAUCUGAUUAGCUAGUUGGUGAGGUAAAGGCUCACCAAGGCGACGAUCAGUAGCUGGUCUGAGAGGACGACCAGCCACACUGGAACUGAGACACGGUCCAGACUCCUACGGGAGGCAGCAGUGGGGAAUUUUGGACAAUGGGCGAAAGCCUGAUCCAGCCAUUCCGCGUGAGUGAAGAAGGCCUUCGGGUUGUAAAGCUCUUUCGCAAGGGAAGAAAACUUAUCCUCUAACAUAGGAUGAGGUUGACGGUACCUUGAUAAGAAGCACCGGCUAACUACGUGCCAGCAGCCGCGGUAAUACGUAGGGUGCGAGCGUUAAUCGGAAUUACUGGGCGUAAAGCGUGCGCAGGCGGUUUUGUAAGUCAGAUGUGAAAUCCCCGAGCUCAACUUGGGAACUGCGUUUGAAACUACAAGACUAGAAUAUGUCAGAGGGGGGUAGAAUUCCACGUAGCAGUGAAAUGCGUAGAGAUGUGGAGGAAUACCAAUGGCGAAGGCAGCCCCCUGGGAUAAUAUUGACGCUCAUGCACGAAAGCGUGGGGAGCAAACAGGAUUAGAUACCCUAGUAGUCC
rnacentral:rRNA from 1 species